GCCGAUGUAGCUCAGUAGGUAGAGCGACUGAUUUGUAAUCAGUAGGUCCCCGGUUCGAUUCCGGGCGUCGGCUCCC
rnacentral:tRNA from 2 species